GACCUCUUGGCUCAGUGGUAGAGCAUCUGAUUCCAGCGACCUGGAUGCCCCCACUGCGCCGUAUUGUCAGGUUUCCAGAAGGUCGUCCGUUCGAUCCGGGCAGAGGUCA